UGAAGUUUCCUUCAGAGCUGGAACACAUAAUGAAGCAGUUAUAUCCGGUAAAGCGAAUGACCAGAAAAACUGCGGGAUAGAACUUUUGAACCUGUUCUCAAACUUUCAAUGAGUAUAACGUCUCGAUUGCAUGAAUGAGGCGUAAACAUUGAAUGUAUGCUUAAGUGAGCCAUUUUUGAUAAGAACUGGCGCUGUGGAAUGAACCAAACGCUGAAUUAUUAUCACGCUAUGUUCAGACGUGGAAAUUUUGAAAAAGAUGUGUAA
rnacentral:ncRNA from 1 species